UGCAAGUCGGACGGUAGCACAGGGGAGCUUGCUCCUUGGGUGACGAGUGGCGGACGGGUGAGUAAUGUCUGGGAAACUGCCCGGUGGAGGGGGAUAACUACUGGAAACGGUAGCUAAUACCGCAUAACGUCUUCGGACCAAAGUGGGGGAUCUUCGGACCUCACGCCACCGGAUGUGCCCAGAUGGGAUUAGCUAGUAGGUGGGGUAACGGCUCACCUAGGCGACGAUCCCUAGCUGGUCUGAGAGGAUGACCAGCCACACUGGAACUGAGACACGGUCCAGACUCCUACGGGAGGCAGCAGUGGGGAAUAUUGCACAAUGGGCGCAAGCCUGAUGCAGCCAUGCCGCGUGUAUGAAGAAGGCCUUCGGGUUGUAAAGUACUUUCAGCGGGGAGGAAGGCGGUGAGGUUAAUAACCUUGCCGAUUGACGUUACCCGCAGAAGAAGCACCGGCUAACUCCGUGCCAGCAGCCGCG
rnacentral:rRNA from 1 species